rnacentral:rRNA from 1 species
GACGAACGCUGGCGGCGUGCCUAAUACAUGCAAGUAGAACGCUGAAGGAGGAGCUUGCUUCUCCGGAUGAGUUGCGAACGGGUGAGUAACGCGUAGGUAACCUGCCUGGUAGCGGGGGAUAACUAUUGGAAACGAUAGCUAAUACCGCAUAAGAGUAGAUGUCGCAUGACAUUUGCUUAAAACGUGCAACUGCACCACUACCAGAUGGACCUGCGUUGUAUUAGCUAGUGGGUGAGGUAACGGCUCACCAAGGCAACGAUACAUAGCCGACCUGAGAGGGUGAGCGGCCACACUGAGACUGAGACACGGCCCAGACUCCUACGGGAGGCAGCAGUAGGGAAUCUUCGGCAAUGGACGGAAGUCUGACCGAGCAACGCCGCGUGAGUGAAGAAGGUUUUCGGAUCGUAAAGCUCUGUUGUAAGAGAAGAACGAGUGUGAGAGUGGAAAGUUCACAAUGUGACGGUAUCUUACCAGAAAGGGACGGCUAACUACGUG